rnacentral:rRNA from 1 species
UCCGUAGGCGGGCAAUUAAGUCAGAGGUGAAAUCCCACAGCUCAACUGUGGAACUGCCUUUGAUACUGGUUGUCUUGAGUUAUAGUGAAGUAGAUAGAAUAUGUAGUGUAGCGGUGAAAUGCAUAGAUAUUACUUAGAAUACCGAUUGCGAAGGCAGUCUACUAACUGUAUACUGACGCUAAUGGACGAAAGCGUGGGGAGCGAACAGGAUUAGAUACCCUGGUAGUCC